rnacentral:rRNA from 1 species
CGAAAGCCUGACGGAGCAAUACCGCGUGAGGGAAGACUGCCUAUGGGUUGUAAACCUCUUUUUUCAGGGAGGAAUAAAAUGACGUGUACCUGAAGAAUAAGCAUCGGCUAACUCCGUGCCAGCAGCCGCGGUAAGACGGAGGAUGCAAGUGUUAUCCGGAAUCACUGGGCGUAAAGCGUCUGUAGGUGGUUUAAUAAGUCAACUGUUAAAUCUUGAGGCUCAACUUCAAAAUCGCAGUCGAAACUAUUAGACUAGAGUAUAGUAGAGGUAAAGGGAAUUUCCAGUGGAGCGGUGAAAUGCGUAGAUAUUGGAAAGAACACCGAUGGCGAAAGCACUUUACUGGGCUAUUACUAACACUCAGAGACGAAAGCUAGGGUAGCA